AUUUAAAGUUACGCUGUUAAAUCCCAAAUUCUCACCUCACCAUCUCCAUACCUGACUCCCCUGUCACUCAAGGCCAAACCACACCCCCAACACCAUAAAAGCCAGCCCUCAGGCCUGCUCUCCCUUUUGCAGCCUGAACAAGAGCAGCACUGAACAAAGGGAAUCUGACUGUGAGUGUGAAACGGACAAAGCCUUAACAAAUGUUGUUGUAUUCUCCUUAUUUGUAUUAUUUCUAAUAUGGUUUAUUCUCAAAUAUUAUUUCUUUAGAUUCCUGUCACCCUGAAACGCAUAUGUAUUGAUUUAAAACCCCGAAGUGGAUGCAUCUAUGAUGUAAGAUUAGUUAACCAAUUUACAAUUCAUUUGACUUUAUCAGUCCCCCCUUUUUUGUAAUAUUUUAUGUUGAUACAUCUUGUUUAUAUUCCUUUUGAUUGUACAGAAAAAAUCAUCCACUGAAGACGAGCAAAAUAAACCGUCAAACUGAAUCCUGGAUCCUGUGUUUUAAUGUGCACUCAAUAUAGGAUGUUCAAUGAGCAAGCAUCAGCAACAUCAUAAUCUUUUACAUGGUCCUUCGAGCCGGAGAGAACAUCUAUAUUGAAAAUGGAUCCAAAUUCAGUUUGGCAUGAUGGCAGUCAGGCCGGAGGAAGGCCACAAAGAGACAGAAUGCCUCCCAGGUAUCUUCGGGACUACCAAACCGAACUUUAUGGCCAGCCUCCCAAACAUUUUAGUCAAUGUGCAGAACCUGCUGCAGAAACCUCAGAGACUGUUUUAUUGAGACAAGAAGUGGCACAAUUAAAGAGCAUGAUGAAGGAUUUACACGAGAGAGUUGAACAGUAUGAACAUGGCUACUCAGAAGGAGAUUCUGAAGAGGAUUGUCACCCCCGAACAACUCAAUCAUCGCCAAACCAACCAGUAACUUCCGUCCCAGCCCCACAGUGUGAAAAGUCCAUGUCUGAACCCAACCUAACAGAAUCAGUACCUGCAUUGCCACCUGGAAAAAUGUCUCAGUCUGUUCAGACCCUUUUCCCAUAUGCUCCCACACUCUCUGCAGCACAAGGUGAACCUAAGAGACCUGCUCCUGUUCCACAAUUGAGAAAUGAGUCCCCAAUCCAAGUACCAUCAGGUCCACUUCCAUCAGCCUCCCUAACUAAUGUGCCAUUCCAGCAAGCUUAUUCCAACCCUGAACCUCAAAGAUUUGCCCCCGCAGUGUCACAUUCUGGGCCUUUCAUACCCACAACUGCUAGUCUGCCUCCUACUGACCCUCCUUUUACCAGGCCAGUAAUCAACCCUCCUAUAACAUUAACAGCACAGCCUAUGCAAAUACCACUCAAUGUUAAUGUUACACAGCCAUCUUAUGGCCCUCAUAGCCAAAUACAAUCAACCCAGAGGCCUCCACUCCAGCCGUAUACCAUUCAUCCAACGCCUAUACCUCCACCUCAAGUCUCAACCAACCCUCAGCCAUCUGCUCACCAUCCAAGUCCUGUAGCUCCAUAUCAGUAUCAACAUUUCCCUCAACCUGUGCAGCAGCUUCAUACCCAAUAUCUUGCACCUCAGCCAGCCCCAAUCACCGGUGCCCCACAAGCUCUAGGAGCCCCCCUCAACUCAAGCUACUCCAUACCUAUGGCCUCUGCACAACAAAUCCGAUACACUUCACGUGUUGAAGGUCCAUCAUUCCCUUAUUUCACCCAAAACGACCCCCAGGAAUUCCUAAUGUUAAAGAUGGCCUUGAAAAACCUUCUUCCUGUAGAAGAACCUGAAUUAUUUAAGUUCCAUAUCCUUUUGGAUCAUCUUCACCUCCCUUCAGCCAGACAUAUUGCCCUGUCUUAUGCUCACCACCCACAGCCCUUUACAGCAGCAAUGGCAGCACUGGAACGACAGUAUGGUCAACCACAUCAACUGGCUUUAAAGGAGAUCCAGACCAUUCUCAACCUCCCCAAAGUGGCCCGUGGAGACGCUGAAGGAUUCCAAAACUUUGCAGUCAAAGUUAGGUCAUUAGUAGGGCUGUUGCAAUCACUCAAUUCAGCAGAAAGUGCAGCAGAAUUAGCAUGUGCCUCCCAUGUCCAGAGAUUAUUGAAUAAACUUCCCGUAGACCUAGUCUCAAAUUUUGCAAGACAUGCCCGCUCAGUUUCCCCGACCUCCCAUUACAAUCUAGUGGAUUUUUCAGUAUGGCUUGAGGGAGAGGCAGAAUGCCAAGCCGUGGUAGCACAAGCCAGCAGUCUUCAAAUCAGCACACCUCAAACUUAUAGAAAGGAGUCAAGCUACAGAUUCAAGCAUCCUACCACCAUCCUCCAUGGAUCCGACCGGAGGUUCACUCACCGCCCAAGUGCUUCUGGUUACCAACAACAGCCUGAAAGAAGGUACCCAUGUGCAUUUUGUCAAUCUACCUCCCACUACCUAACAAACUGUGAAAGUUUGAAAGAACUAGGACCCGAGAAAGUGUCAAAGUGGCUAAAGGAAGAAAAUAGAUGUUGGAAAUGUGGAAGAACCCAUAAAGCAGCUAAUUGCACUCUAAAAAAACCCUGUCCCAAAUGUAAUGGCCUUCACCUAGGUGUACUACACGAUGUAAAUAAAACCCAGACAGCAUCCAGAGUGUUGUAUCUGAACCCACGAAGCCUAACAUCCAAAGUGCUGCUAAAAGUAGUAAAAGUAAGUCUUCACCACAACAAUAGAGUUUUUGAUACAUAUGCCAUCUUAGAUGAUGGAUCUGAGCGUACAAUGUUACUACCAGGUGCCGCAGAGUACCUUGGGCUGGAUGGUGAACCAGAAAACCUCGAGCUGCGAACAGUGAGGCAGCAAACAGAAACCUUGAAUGGGAAAACUGUUAACCUAAAAAUCUCUGCUGCAUCAAGCCCUGAGAAAAAAUUCUCAAUUGACAGAGCCUUCACUUCCGACAUGAUAAUGCUGGUCGAGCAAAGUUACCCUGUUGAUAAACUCAAACAACGCUAUCCCUAUUUGCAAGGUCUCCCACUAAGCUCCUUCUCCAAAGUCCAGCCACACAUCCUCAUCGGAUCUGACAAUCCUUUCCUGAUCACACCUAUAGAGAGAGUUCAAUAUGGACCAAAGGGAGCUCCAGCAGCAGUAAGAACACGCCUGGGAUGGGCCCUUCAAGGACCAACCUUCCUUGGUGAGUCAUCAUCCGCUACCCAGUGCUUUUUAACAUCACCGGUUAACCCCUACUCAGAACUUCAACACCAUGUAGAGCAACUGUGGCAAACUGAUAUCCUUCCCUUUAGAAAUGAAAAAUUAAUCACAAGGUCAAAACAAGAUAGAGACGCCAUAGACCUCCUGGAUAAGAAAACUGUGAGAGUUGAAACAGAUGGUACCAAACGCUAUGCAACCCCUUCACAAAGAAAAAAGGAUGCACCUGAACUAAAAGCCCCAGCAGAAUCUGUUAUGCCCCUUCUCCGUCGAUCUGAACGCAAACUCCAAAACAAUCCUGAAUUGGCAGACAUAUGCAAUAAUGAAAUCAGUAAACUAAAACAACCUAGUUAUGCGAAAAACUCAAACCUGAACAAGUCUCUCAGACAGAAGAAUCAAAGUAUACCCCUCAUCACCUUGUGGAGCAUAAUGGCAAUCAUCAUGUUGUCUUCAACUGCUCUCAGAGAGAUUGUUGGAAGCCAAACCGUUCCAGAGGAAGUACUGCACACAGUGCAGGUUGAAAUUGAAGGUAUAAUCAACUCCAAACCAACCGGAUAUGCUUCAUCUGAUAUAGCAGAUCCUGACCCCAUCACACCAAACCUUCUCCUAAUGGGGCGGCGAGAUGCCUCUCUUCCACAGGCUGUCUAUGCUGAAUCCAACUUACUUGGAAAGAGAAAAUGGAGGCAUAGUCAGAUCCUAACUGAUCGAUUCUGGUCCUGUUUCAUCAGACAUUACCUUCCAAGCUUGCAGGUGCGAAAUAGAUGGCAGAGAGACACACCAGGCCUGACAGAGGGAACAAUGGUACUGUUAAUGGAUCCCCAAGUACCAAGAGGACAGUGGCAGGUUGGGAAGGUGUCUCGUCUCUUCCCCAGUGAUGAUGGAAGGAUUAGGACUGUGGAAGUGACAUCUAACCAACGAAAGUUCAUCCGCCCUGUUGCCCAACUAGUUAUCCUUUCACCUUUUAAAGCCGACACCCAGAAUUGAUUUGUGAUUUAUUGAUUCAAAUAUACUAUUUGAAGGGGCGGCUGUUAAAUCCCAAAUUCUCACCUCACCAUCUCCAUACCUGACUCCCCUGUCACUCAAGGCCAAACCACACCCCCAACACCAUAAAAGCCAGCCCUCAGGCCUGCUCUCCCUUUUGCAGCCUGAACAAGAGCAGCACUGAACAAAGGGAAUCUGACUGUGAGUGUGAAACGGACAAAGCCUUAACAAAUGUUGUUGUAUUCUCCUUAUUUGUAUUAUUUCUAAUAUGGUUUAUUCUCAAAUAUUAUUUCUUUAGAUUCCUGUCACCCUGAAACGCAUAUGUAUUGAUUUAAAACCCCGAAGUGGAUGCAUCUAUGAUGUAAGAUUAGUUAACCAAUUUACAAUUCAUUUGACUUUAUCAGUCCCCCCUUUUUUGUAAUAUUUUAUGUUGAUACAUCUUGUUUAUAUUCCUUUUGAUUGUACAGAAAAAAUCAUCCACUGAAGACGAGCAAAAUAAACCGUCAAACUGAAUCCUGGAUCCUGUGUUUUAAUGUGCACUCAAUAUAGGAUGUUCAAUGAGCAAGCAUCAGCAACAUCAUAAUCUUUUACAUACGCA